rnacentral:rRNA from 1 species
UACAGAGGGUGCGAGCGUUAAUCGGAAUUACUGGGCGUAAAGCGUGCGUAGACGGUUAUUUAAGUCGGGUGUGAAAUCCCCAGGCUUAACCUGGGAACUGCAUUCGAGACUGCAUUGCUAGAGUAUGGGAGAGGGAAGUGGAAUUUCCGGUGUAGCGGUGAAAUGCGUAGAUAUCGAGAGGAACACCUGUGGCGAAAGCGAAUCUCUGGACAGUUCCUGACGCUGAGGCUCGAAGGCUAGGGUAGCGAAAGGG